CAACACCGGUCGAUCGACACAUUUGAGAAGGAACAACCACACAAGUGAGAAUGAUACUGCAUCUUCAUCCAAAAAUUUCAUGUUUAAGUAUUAGUUUUUUUUUCUUCCACUUAUUAGUUAAUAAACCUCCGUUGUUUUAUCCCAUGUUUGAAUUUAACUGACACUAGAUACAUCAUAAUAUUGUCUCCCUCAACUAUGACGAAAUUUUAGUCCGUGCUUGGCACGGGUGUCCAUACUAGU
rnacentral:lncRNA from 1 species